UAAAUGCAGGUUAAAAAACUGUCUUUGAAACGAAAAAAUGAAGACCAAGAGAACAAAAAUAAACUCAAAAAGGAGAAACCAAAUCUUGUUGGCUCUUGUGUUUCAAUUAGGUUGGCUGAGAAGGACAAAAUUAAUUAGAUGAAAUAAACUGUUAUCUGUUCACCCAAGCACCAAUCAUUUAAGAUGAGUUCAACUGUUCGGCAAUCGAAGAAAAAUGUAAGCAAAACAUCACUGUUUUUGGAGAUGGAGCAGCAACGCCAAGAUGUUAUAGUCAGGUUCUUCAAAAAAACAACAACAAUGUCAAUUGUUUUUAAAGUAACUGCAAAAUUCAAAGACGAAGAUGAAUAUCUUGUCAGCAUAUUAGGAAAAAAGCUUUCGAGAAAGAUACAAUCAAUAAGUACAUGAAAGUACUAUACCUGGAUGCAAAUUCUUGGUUUUUUGUCAAACACAAAGAUACCAUGCAAGCGUCAUUGAAACGUAAUGUUAUAUUACCAAUAACAAGCACGAAAUCCAGCGUGAAGAAGAUCAUGAUACCACUGUGCCACGAAGAAGUGAAUAAUGCAGAACAUUGGACAUUACUAGUCUACUAUGUCUACCAAAAAUGUUUCUUCCACUACAACUCGUGGUCUGACCAGUCAAGAAACCAAUGUUGUGCAAAUGCAAAAAUUAUGGCAGAUGAAUGCUUGUGACCAACCAACAAUUUCAUGGAAAAACAAGGCUUCAAAAAGGUUUCAGAAGCUAUGGUGUAUGAAGCUCAGCACCGCAACAAGGACAGUCUAAUGACUGUUUAAUGUAUGUAUACUAUUUUAUGAAGAAACAAUGGCAGAAUAAAUACUGUGAUGGGAUUCAGAGCAGCAUGGAAGGUCAAACAAUUUUGAGAGAAAAGUUGAACAAGAAACGGGCAAAAAUUGAUUUCCAGCUACUCACUGCGACUAGCCCUGAAGAAAGUUGGAAAAAAGCAAACGAUUUAGAAUAAUUUUCGUAUUUUUUUUCCCCUUCAAAACCUACUUGUACUACUAAGAUCAUGUUUAAGAUAUUAUUUAUCAGUAAGAUAGAGUUAGU